UACGGAGGGUGCAAGCGUUAUCCGGAUUUAUUGGGUUUAAAGGGUCCGUAGGCGGGCCGAUAAGUCAGUGGUGAAAGCCCAUAGCUCAACUAUGGAACUGCCAUUGAUACUGUCGGUCUUGAGUAUAUGUGAUGUUGGCGGAAUGUGUAGUGUAGCGGUGAAAUGCUUAGAUAUUACACAGAACACCGGUUGCGAAGGCAGCUGACAAAUAUAUAACUGACGCUGAGGGACGAAAGUGUGGGGAUCAAACAGG
rnacentral:rRNA from 1 species